rnacentral:snoRNA from 1 species
GCAUCAGGUGGGAUAAUCCUUACCUGUUUCUCCUUUUGGAGGGCAGAUUAGAACAUGAUACAAGCUUGCGUGCUGCAUGAUUAGUGUCUUUAUGUAAUCAGGACUUGCAACACCAUGAUUGUUCCUAACUGAU